AAAAGCAGCCAUGUCACCCUGCAACUCACAACUGGCAACCCACUGAAGCUCAGCAGGUGUGAGCCUGGUCAGUACCUGGAUGGGAGACCUCCUGGGAAAAACUAAGGUUGCUGCUGGAA
ensembl:rRNA 5S_rRNA 5S ribosomal RNA